rnacentral:rRNA from 1 species
GAUGAACGCUGACAGAAUGCUUAACACAUGCAAGUCUACUUGAACUUCGGUUUGGGUGGCGGACGGGUGAGUAACGCGUAAAGAACUUGCCUCACAGUUAGGGACAACAUUUGGAAACGAAUGCUAAUACCUGAUAUUAUGAUUUUAGGGCAUCCUAAGAUUAUGAAAGCUAUAUGCACUGUGAGAGAGCUUUGCGUCCCAUUAGCUAGUUGGAGAGGUAACGGCUCACCAAGGCGAUGAUGGGUAGCCGGCCUGAGAGGGUGAACGGCCACAAGGGGACUGAGACACGGCCCUUACCCCUACGGGAGGCAGAAGGGGGGAAUAUUGGAAAAGGGCCAAAAAGUUUGAUCCAGCAAUUCUGUGGGCAAGAUGACGUUUUUCGGAAUGAAAAGUUCUUUCAGUUGGGAAGAAAAAAAGGCCGGUCCCAACAAAAGAAGGGCCGCCAAAAUACGU